UGGAAGCCCCGCCCCAGGUGGUUUUAUUAAAUUUUCAUGCCAAAGGCCCGCGCCCUCCCCGGUGGAGGGUUCUUUGGAUCCUGGGAAGACUUGAGUGCGGAAGAGGAAAGUGGAAUUACAUGUGUAGCGGUGAAAGGCGUAGAAAUAUGGAGGAACACCAGUGGGGGAAGCCGACUUUUUGGUCCGUACCUGGCACGGAGGCGCGAAAGCGUGGGGACCAACCAGGAUUAGUUCCCCUGGUAGUCCACCCCGUAACCGAUGAGUGUUAAGUGUUAGAGGGUUUCCGCCCUUUAGUGCUGAACUUAACCCAUUAAGCACUCCGCGUGGGGAGUACGGCCCCAAGGAUCAAACUCAAAGGAAUUGCCGGGGGCCCGCACAAGCGGUGGACCAUGUGGUUUAAUUCAAAGCAACGCGAAGACCCUUCCCAGGUCUUGACAUCCUCUGACAACCCUAGAGAUAGGGCUUCUCCUUCGGGAGCAGAGUGACAGGUGGUGCAUGGUUGUCGUCAGCUCGUGUCGUGAGAUGUUGGGUUAAGUCCCCCACCGAGCGCAACCCUUGAUCUUAGUUGCCAUCAUUAAGUUGGGCACUUUAAGGUGACUCCCGGURACAAACCGGAGGAAGGUGGGGAUGACGUCAAAUCAUCAUGCCCCUUAUGACCUGGGCUACACACGUGUUCCAAUGGACGGUACAAAGAGCUGCAAGACCGCGAGGUGGAGUUAAUCUCAUAAAACCGUUCUCAGUUCGGAUUGUAGGCUGCAACUCGCCUACAUGAAGCUGGAAUCGUUAGUAAUCGCGGAUCAGCAUGCCGCGGUGAAUACGUUCCCGGGCCUUGUACCCACCGCCCAUCACGCCACGAGAGUUUGUAACACCCGAAGUCGGUGGGGUAACCUUUUGGAGCCAGCCGCCUAAA
rnacentral:rRNA from 1 species